CCUCCUGAUCUCUCAUGCUCAGUAUUUCUCCUGCAAGGUGCUUUGAGUUUGGAGUCUACCAGGUCUAAUAUAGCAGGCAGAUGGACUAUUAUACCAGGUCUAUUAUAGCAGACAGACUAUUACACCAGGUCUAAUAUAGCAGGCAGAUGGACUAUUAUACCAGGUCUAAUAUAGCAGGUAGAUGGACUAUUAUACCAGGUCUAUUAUAGCAGACAGACUAUUACACCAGGUCUAUUAUAGCAGGCAGACUAUUACACCAGGUCUAUUAUAGCAGGCAAACUAUUGUACCAGGUCUAAUAUAGCAGACAGACUAUUACACCAGGUCUUCGUUCUAGUAUCUGUUUGGUUUUAUAAUUGCCAGGCCAUGGAGGCAAAUUCCUAGAAGGGCUCCACAAGUCCACGGGGUAGUGUGAUGUCAAGGGGAAGGCCAUGGAGGGGGCUGAGGGACAACAUUCUCGAGGGGUCCUGACAUCAGUCAUACAGGGUGAUUUGUCCGUCAGAGUCAGCCUUCCAACAGGGCCCUUUUGUCUGUUAUAGACUUUCAUGGUGUUGGGGAUUGAUCUAGCAUCUGAGUGGGCCACGACAGCUUUCUACAGCGGAGUUACACCGCCAGAUUGUCAGCCUGAUGGAUCUCCCCCGACCUCUGCCCUUCUAAAGUCUGGAGACAUCCCACUAGCAGAACAAAACGUUUGAGAAUUAGUCUCUCACUUGCACUCUCUGGCUGUUUGUCUGCAACGAGCAGAACGUUGUAGGUUUGGUGCUGCUGGUCUCUAGCUUUCUGCUUUGUUUGCUGUGGUUUUUUUGUAACGUUGAGGACUGAACCCAGAACUUUCUAGAUGCUAACAAGAAUUCUCCUACUGCCCUACAUCCCCAGCUCUAAAAGACAGUUUUUCUAUCUCUUUGAAGACCUAAAGGAAAAAAAAGCAAAUUUAUUACCUUUGAAAACAUACGGCAUAUUCAGAAGGAAUCAGUUAUGAGGCAUUGUAUUCUUUGGAUUUGUCCACCUUUUUUCAGAUAACGUGUAAAAAAAUACUGAAAUAAUUUCCAAGAUUAAGCUCCAAAAACAUACAAAAGAAAGAAACCUAGAUCUGUGGGGCUUCUGAAGCAUUCUAAUUUACCAAACAUGUCAACUAUGCCCAAGGAGCUCAGUGACAUCCUGAUUAGUGACCCAGGCAGCAUACUAUUUCAGUUGCCUUCUUGGCUCGCCAGUUCAUAAAUCUUGAUAUCAGAGAGUGAAGAAUAAAACUUUUUUUUAUUCUUUUAUUUAGCUAAAAUCACCAGCUAAGUCCAUAUUUCUGGGUAAUUCAUAGUUGUUAUUUUCCUAAUCUCUUAUUAUUGUAUUCAAUUUCUGUCUGCUUUAGUGUUGGAUUAUUUUAUUCUGAAAUGCAAUUGAAUUUACCAUUAUAUUUCUUAUACAAAAGGAUUCUGCUUGUUCUUUUAAAUGAAUUGUUCUUCGUUCCUUUAAUUAUGAUAAUUAGGGUUAUUUGAAUCCUCACAAGUGAGACUGAGUCUGUGUUGACUAAUUAUCAGGAUGAACUACCCCAAACAAAAGCAGUGACAUUGAAAGGCUUGUCAGUUGGCCGUACAGAGAGAAAACAAUGGACCCUAAAUGCCAUCUUCAGCCAUUAAACUAUAAAGUCUGAUCAGACAAAGCGUUUAAUAGUGCAUUUGGUUUAUAGUUGAGAAUUUUUAACUCUGCGUUUCUAAUUAUAAGGUGUUGAAAAAUUGCUGGCUGCUGAGUACUGCUUUAACUGUUUAUUGUUUUCAUUUUGAAUGAAAAUCUAUAGUUGCAUGAUUGUAGGACAAAAACACUGCCAACUUUUAACUCCCUACGUUUCUGUCCUUGAUCAGUGCUUGCCUGAAUCAUGGACCCUCUCCAAAGGUUACCAUAGAAACCUGAAGGAGCCAGGGAGAGCAAGCGCAAGAGGGCGCGGGUCUUUGCAUACAGAAGGACUUACAGGAGAAAGAACUAGACUUUUUCAGCUAUUUUUUCAUCUGUGGUCAUGAAAGGAAAGAAAAAGUUGAAAUUUAACUAACUCUGCCAAUCCAGAUCAU